rnacentral:rRNA from 1 species
GGAGUUAGCCGGUGCUUCUUCUGUGAGUGAUGUCCUUCCUGCCGGCUAUUAACCCGCAGGCCUUCUUCCUCACUGAAAGUGCUUUACAACCCGAAGGCCUUCUUCACACACGCGGCAUGGCUGGAUCAGGGUUGCCCCCAUUGUCCAAUAUUCCCCACUGCUGCCUCCCGUAGGAGUCUGGGCCGUGUCUCAGUCCCAGUGUGGCUUGAUCAUCCUCUCAGACCAGCUACGGAUCGUCGCCUUGGUGAGCCGUUACCUCACCAACCAGCUAAUCCGACAUAGGCUCAUCCGAUAGCGCGAGGCCCGAAGGUCCCCCGCUUUCCCCCGUAGGGCGUAUGCGGUAUUAGCCUGGGUUUCCCCAGGUUAUCCCCCACUACCGGGCAGAUUCCUAUGCAUUACUCACCCGUCCGCCGCUCGCCACCAGGGAGCAAGCUCCCCGUGCUGCCGCUCGACUUGCAUGUGUUAGGCCUGCCGCCAGCGUUCAAUCUGAGCCAUGAUCAAACUCUGA